UCUAAUUGGUUAAUUGCUGUUAAAUUGCAAUGGCGCUCAUUUAAAUUUCAGCUGUUAGUAAAUCACUUGCUAAACUGAUGAUAGUGA